GUCAGGUUCAUAACCCACUGAGCCACAGUGGAAACUCCUGGGAGGUUUUGGCCAUGAAAUGAUGCCGGCGAAGCUUGUGACACUUCAGAACAUCAAGCUGCUGUUCGAGGGAAAAGUCCGGUUCAGUGUGUUAGGAUUUCAGAUGGCUCCCGUCCCAGGAACCCCAUCCCUGCCUUGCAAAGGACUUGGAAAGAAGAGACAGUUCGCAAGAAUGUCACACCACCAGCCGUUACACCAUAUCCUUAAUAAUUCUUAAAUAUGGAAAGGCUUUACUGGGGGAAUUCCAGCCCUGACAAUUCCCCUUUGUUACAUCUUUCUGUCUCUGAGCAGAGCAGCGGUCUGUCGCUGGGCUCAGAGGGAACAUAAAAUUACAGGAGGGCGGCCUUAUCUUCUGCACGCUUCCCUGGUACGGCGCCCUUUUCCAGAAGGCACCCUUCCUCCAGGGCAUCUCUCACGGCACCACCCUCCCUUGGCCGCUUUCUAGGUUAUGGGUGCCUAAAAUGCGGGUUCUUUCUCUUACCUGGUGUCCUUCUGCAUUUCUCAUCCCUAAAGCCAAACUUCUUCUCUUGGUGGAAAAAUGCCCCACGUGCGGAAGUCACGGGCAACGCCGCGCGCUUCUCCCCGCAACUUCAUUGACCUCAUUUGCUCAAAAUAGACCCCGUCCUAGUGAACAGAGGAACGGAAUUAGCAACUGACUUGAUUCACACGCACGCUCACACAUAAGCUCACCCCUUCUAGAAAAAACCGUUGGGUCAUUAACCUGUGAUCCAGAAGCAGCUUUCGUGACCUCAGGCAGCAAAUAAUUCCAGCCUGCGACAGUGUGAGUGACCGUCCCUGACUCUCUUAUUUAUAGUACAAGGGACAAGAGCAUGUCAUGGCAUAAUUGAAAAUGCUUCCUCGUUGGUCUUAUUCAGCAGCAUGUUACUAAAAUCUUUGUUAAAAGGUGAUGAGCUUGUUAAGCUUUGUUGGGUCUUAUAAACCCAGAAUGAGCAUUUCAUCUACGUGGAGUGGAAUAAUCUGUGUGUUUUUUUUCUUUAUGAUGAACAAUCGUGUUCCAGGUGCCCCGGGAAUCCGUGGUAAACUGACUAAUCUUCGCCUAACAAUGCUAACUAGGACGGUAUUUGGACCUGUGUCUUCCAGACACUCUUGGGGCCGUGACUUGGUCGUAGAUCCUCAGGUUGACAUGAAAAGCUCUCAGCUCACAUUCCUUUGUGAGCAGAAUUUCUGACAAAAACUUACACAUUGUAAUUUUAAAGGUAAUUAUUAUUUUCUUUUUGGAAGGCAGAAAAUACUGUGCCUUUCAGGAUGUUCCUUGUGAAAAGUCACAGGACUUCCUACCAAGACAUCCUUCUUAGUAAUUCUCCAUGUUGACGGCAAUUUGAGGGCAAGGCAGGCUUGUGGCCAAAUCGGGCCACUCUUAGAAAAAGAGGAUGUAGCUCCUGCAUCCCACAGGGGGACACUCCAGACGGUUGGCCUGACUCGUUGGCACAAGGGCAAGUGUCCCUGGAGAAACCAUUUUCCUGAAGGGGAAAUGGCAGAUCAGUUUCAAUGGCAGGGGGACGAAUCAACAGGAGGAAAACCCUGCGUGGCCAGGUCAUCUCUCCGAAGAGACGGUAUUCAGAGAAGGUCUGGUAGCCAUGAGCGGGGGGCGGAUCGAAGGCGCCCUUCCUUAUGUCGGUUAAUAAGUCUGGAAUUGAAAGCUAUGGAAACAAGUAAACCAUAAAUAAAGCAGAAACAUGCGAAAAUACUUGGCAAGCCUCACUGCAUACUUUGGAGGCUAUGGAUGAAGUAACUGGGAACACCACUGAAGUUAAUGCGAAAUAAAUGAAUUGUUUGGUGGAGGGACUUGGCAGACAGGAAUACACAAAAGAACAGCCUGGGAUUAUUACUGAAAUACGGCAAAGCUGUGGAUCUUUGCCAGCUUUUCAGUGACUCAAUAAGCUGUGACGUUUAUAAAAAGCAUAGUAUGUCCUACGCUUCUAAAUUUAUACCACAAAUAUCAACAAAACUGUCCAGAUAGAAUUUGUAUUCUGGCUGUGGCUCUUAACUAUAAAAUAUUGGCAUAUAUGCACAUAAAACAAAAUGUUGGCUUAUUGGA